GUGCCAGCCGCCGCGGUAAUACGGAGGGUGCAAGCGUUAAUCGGAAUUACUGGGCGUAAAGCGCGCGUAGGCGGUUUGUUAAGUCGGAUGUGAAAGCCCUGGGCUCAACCUGGGAACUGCAUACGAUACUGGCAAGCUAGAGUGCAAUAGAGGGGGGUAGAAUUCCAGGUGUAGCGGUGAAAUGCGUAGAUAUCUGGAGGAAUACCGGUGGCGAAGGCGGCCCCCUGGAUUGACACUGACGCUGAGGUGCGAAAGCGUGGGUAGCAAACAGGAUUAGAAACCCGCGUAGUCC
rnacentral:rRNA from 1 species